AGAUUAUUCAUUUCAAAAUGUCUCAGAGAAGUUAACUGGCCGGUUUUUGUGAGAUCUUUCGAUCUCUGUCAACUAUUCUGCUUACCGAACUUCUCAUAUUC